UCUGUGCACGGAUUACGUGCACCUUCGACUGCACAACAGCAACCAGAGUAACAAUCCACUCACCUUUGCCUGGGGUGACAGCCCGGAUUAUGACGUGCCUGAAUCCGAAGAUUCCCCAACUACAUGGCAUGAAAGAGCGGCGGAGGAAGUGUUCGCCAUUACGGAGUCCACCCAUUACGUCGGGAUGUGGG